GAUGAACGCUGGCGGCGUGCCUAAUACAUGCAAGUCGAGCGAACAGACGAGGAGCUUGCUCCUCUGACGUUAGCGGCGGACGGGUGAGUAACACGUGGAUAACCUACCUAUAAGACUGGGAUAACUUCGGGAAACCGGAGCUAAUACCGGAUAAUAUAUUGAACCGCAUGGUUCAAUAGUGAAAGACGGUUUUGCUGUCACUUAUAGAUGGAUCCGCGCCGCAUUAGCUAGUUGGUAAGGUAACGGCUUACCAAGGCAACGAUGCGUAGCCGACCUGAGAGGGGGAUCGGCCACAUUGGAAGUGAGACACGGUCCAGACGCCUACGGGAGGCAGCAGUAGGGAAUCGUCCGCAAUGGGCGAAAGCCUGACGGAGCAACGCCGCGUGAGUGAUGAAGGUCUUCGGAUCGUAAAGCUCUGUUAUGAGGGAAGAACAAAUGUGUAAGUAACUAUGCACGUCUUGACGGUACCUAAUCAGAAAGCCACGGCUAACUACGUG
rnacentral:rRNA from 1 species